CAGCUAAGCCUGAUGAUCAGAGUUCAAUCCCCAUGACCCACAUGACGAAAGAACCAGCUCCUGAGGGUUGUCCUCUGAUCUCGGUUGUGAGGGCUCCCUCACACACACACACAGAUAGAGAAUUAAGAGCAAACAUUUAAAAGAGGAAAGCAAGGCCACCACACCGGCCACGGUGUCUCCUCCGGAACCGGUCCUGAGAGGUACCGAAAGUCUGGACUCCACGGGCUGUGCGUUGAGGAAGGAGGAUGCCAGCACAUUUGUCUCCAAGCCCAAGCCUAACGGGCAGUUUGAACAGCCAUUAGAGAAGAAUUACCGCCGUACCGUUUUCCAGAUGACUGUGGGCAUUUGCUGCAGACCAUAAAUAAUGGCAUCUGCGGUACAGAAAAUAAGAAACAUGUCCCCAGUAUUUUCUUCAUUAAAAUUCAUAGCCUCUCUCGUCCCAUUGAGAAUUGCAGUACUGUUUCCACUUAGCGAAAAUUUGCUUUGAAGAGUGUUUUGUUCUAGGUCAAUUCUUAAGGACGGCCAUUAGUUAAACAGUAUGAGCUAUCACGGAAGAAACUGGAAAUAACAUAGACUAGGAGGACGGGGAAGCUGUAGCGUGUCAACCGGAUGGAAUGACGCUCAGCCGUCUAUACAAAUCCCAUCUAUACACACCACGCACAGAGGCCAAACCACGCGGAAACGCAAACAGCGUGUCAGCGCGCCUCCGGGGAUUCAGAAAACGAUGUAGCAGGAGUGUGUACAGAAGGCCACUGAAGAAAACUCACCUGCUACGUUAGGCAAAGGUGUCCUGAUCCUUUUGUUUAUUAUUUUAUUUUAUUUUAUUUUUUGCUGCAGUUAUUAAAUUAUGUCUAGCAUCUGGGAGUGUGUUCUUGGCAUGAGUGAGGCCAAAGGCUUGAGUCCCACCCCCAUAUCAUAAACUAAAUAAACUUGUCAAGAUAUAACAGUUGAAAUAUAAAAUUAGCGACGAUGGACCCUCCACUAAGGAACGCUCCGUGGGAACUACGUUUAAAGAGUUGUGCAAACACGCAGGAUGGCGUGGGGAGGACAGCACGGGCUGUAAUGCCAGCGCUUGGAAGUCUGAGGAGACAGGAUCCGAAGUUUAAGUCCAGCCUGAACCACACGGUGAGUCCCUGAGACAAAGACACAAAACACACAGAAAGGGGCGAGAGUACCGGGUUCAGUUGUUAAGAGUUUGCGGUGUAGCAUUGAGGACCAGAGCUCAGAUCCCGGCACCAACACAACAAGCUUGGCAAAUGACUGUCACUCUGUCUCAGAGGGAUCCAGCAUCUUCUGGUCUCCCACUCACGAACCUGUACACACACACACACACACACACACACACACACGAUAAUUACUCAAUUUUUUAAAGACAGAGGAAGAGAGUAUUUCCCAACACGUCAGUGUCUGGGUUAUGACCCUGCCUCACCAACUAGAUAUCCUUGACUUAAGUAGGACCUGAAACAGUAGAACUUGAGUAAUAAAAUAUUUCUUUAAAGGAAUGCAAUCCUAUCACUUUCAGAUACUUAGCAACUUAAUAUGUUUUUAAGUGGUGGGUGAAGCUUACGAGCGGCUAAGAUUAACGGAGAACUGACGGCUAUUUAUACAUGCUGUCAGCUCCCUUUUCACCCUUGGCAGGACCAAAAAACUUGACGGCAACUGUUGACAGAACGAAAAACCCGGAAAACCAUUCAGAACAGUACAACCAUUCCUUCAAAAAUCACACUUGUGGCCUGUGAAUCACACACCUGCCCGCAAUCGGCUGGCACGAUGGCCCUGGACAGGGAAGAGCAGCAAUUCAAGGCCUCUGGAAAGCUGUUGGGACGAGAUGAGGCAAUCCAACACCUCAGCUCUCCGCUCCUGACUUAACUCCUCCUCAAAGGCUCACGGAACUGGGAGACACAGGCUCCUUGGUUGGUAUCAGCUUAGUUUGCACCAAUACGUAGCCCAGACUGGACAGGAACGAUGUAGCCUCGAUCUCUCAGUCCUCCUGCCUCAGUCUGAGUGUUAGCGUUGCAAGAGUGAACCCUGUACCACUUACGAGCAUCAACGUUCACUCUCAACAGCCUUCGCCAUCAGCAGUCGAGCUGGAAACAGACCAAGAGUACAUCGGAAAAGCACACCUACCUACCGAGCCCGAAUCAAACGCAGGUUCAGGUUGCUCUAUUGCGCGCAUUUACAUGAAUUAUCAUCCAUUUUUACCUUGGGUCACAGACAUGGUAUUUGAAUAAGAGUUUCUUGCUUAGAAAAUCAAAAUGCUUUCCUGCCAGGAAAAAAAAAAAUGGUUACGGGAAAAAAAAAAAAAAAAAAAAAAAAAAGGUUAUCCAGGUAGGAGAAUCAAUAUCAGGGCUUUUGACGCUGGGAUGAGUUGAGAUUGCACGCCGUCCGCCUCACUACCACUGGGGGUCUGCCAUCGAAGGCGUCACUUUUGCUAAAACGGCUUUUCGGGGAAAAGAUCUUCCCUCACUAGGCGGCAACGAGCACGUCUGAGCUCAGCGCCGCGCCGCGAUCAGGGGCUGUGCGGGUCCUAGCGGCUUGUGCCCGAGGCAGCCGGGCGAGGGGCAGAACUCUGUCUGUCUGCACUUGUGCACCUUUCACCGUCUGCGGUGUUACAGGAAGAAGCAAAGAGCAGCGAUUUCCUUCCAAAAGGUCAGCUGCUUCAGACAGACCAAACAGAAGGCUCUAAGUGCUCGCCAACUUCCCCUCCGCAGCUAGUACGCAAUCACAUUCUGUUUCCAGUAAAGCUCCCAAGAAAAACAAGCAGACGGAGACCCAGAAUCUCUGCCACCAACGGGCCGAGGCUGCCUAGGUUAAAAGCAGUAAAAGAACACGAGGCCCUGUGCACCGGGUAGGCCAGGGCACCGUUUAGAAUCGCCAGAGUGAGGUCAUACUUGGCCAAGAAUGAUUUUAAGAGUUUGGUUUUUUUCUUUUGUAUGUUACACGUGAGGUGCAUGUGUGUUGUGGCGUGCGUGUGGCAGUCAGAGAACAGAGUCUGUUCUCUCCAUCCACUUUUUGGGUCCCAGUAACCAAACUUGGGUCGCCAAGCUCGGUGGCGAGCGCCCUUUACCCACUGAGCCAUCACGCUGGCCUCCCCAUUGUUGUACUUUACAUGAAAAAUCCAGAAGUCUGUAUCUAAAAAUAUGAUAGUAAUCUGAUGAUAAGAGUGACAUUUAAGGUCUCUGCGUGACUGACAAAAUUAAAAUGUCAGCCUUUUCUUUUCUCAGACUAAAGGCAAGACCAGCCAUGGGGCUGGAGAGUUGGUUCAGCGGUUGAGAGCACUGACUUCUAUUCCUAGAGGACCUGGGUUCAAUUCCUAGCAUACACCCACAGGCGGUUCACAGCUGUCUGUGACUCCAGUUCCAGGGGAUCUGACACCCUCACACGGACAUACAUGCAGGUAAAACACCAAUGUACACAAAACAAAAAUAAGAAAUCAUAAAAAAAAAUUUAAAACAAAACAAUCAAACUAACAAAAGCCUCGCAGUCUAAAAAAAAAAAGCCUCGACACCUACUAGGCCCAGCAGGCACUCACGCAGUGCUAAAACCCCGGAGGCCACAGAAAAUGCACACACAGCUUCUAGACCCAGAGAAAAGAUCACUAAACCGAUGAGCAAAGAGAGGUUUAAAGUCUUCUUCAGAUAGUAAUUCCAAAUGUUUAAAAUGGCACUGAAGAUUUUAGUGUCCCCUACACACACACACACACACACACACACCCUCCCAACAGCAUUGUGUCCCGACACAGACUUCUGUGAGUGAAAAGAGCACGGAACUACAGAAGAACCUGCAUUCGGUUCUCCCAGAGGCAGCAACAAUGUGAAGAAGAAGAAGGAAGAGAGAUGAAGGCUUUAAGUUUCUCCGCCUGAUCAGUUCCUGCUUUAACUAUUUACAUUCCAUGGUGUGGUGGCCUAGACUGGGAAGAUAGCUCAGUUGGUAAAGAAUUUGUCUGGGAAGCACGAGGACCUGAGUUCAGAUCCCUAGAGCCCACAGUGGUAAAUGUCUUUACAAUGGCAAGACAGGAGGCAGACAUGAGGUCGCUGGUCAGAUAAUACAGCCUAAUUGAUUAGGUUCAAGGCCAGCAAGAGACCUUGUCCAACAAAAGGUGGAAGGUGGCUGAGGAAUGAUAAACAAAGUUGUCUUCUGACCUCCCCACACAUGGAGAGGAGACAAAAACAAAUGAAGAGUCCCCGUGAGAGGCUCACAUGACAUGCCUUCGGCUCCAUGUGGUUUCUAACUAACUACUCUCUCUCGGGUUGUGGUGGCAACAGAGACCCCAGGCUUUUUGUGGGAGGUGCUCUUCUGCAGAAGCCAGGCUUUGAUCACCGAGCGCUUAACCCCAGCUUCAGAGCACCCAGGACCAGAUGAAGACAAUUGAAAGCUCCUGGGGUGAAAAAAAAAAAAAAAAAACUUGUUACAUAGGCUAAAUUAAGCUACAUGCUGGAAACUGUUUCAUGUCGACACAAAGUAAGCUACUUAAUUUCCACUCUCUGCUCCACAGCCGGAGGGGGUGGGCACUCGGGGGAGAAGGCGACGGUCCUGGUAGCAGAAGGGAUGAAAAACACCGAGGAGCUGUUACCACACGCCCUGGGCACCUGUGCCCUGUGCAUAUGUCCUCAGUGAGUCUCCCAAGGACGCCUGAGGUGUCUCUAACGGUGUCACUAUGCUGCAGAUGAGGCAACAGGCUUAAGACCGGAGCUCUCAGAUUCCCGGAGAGGCCUCUCGCCUUCAGAGGACAGGCGCUCAUUAAAAAUCCUCACUCUUAAUGGCCAUCAAGAUGAGUCAGUGGAGGAAGGCACUCGCCAUCAAACCUGACACCCUGAGUUUGACUCCCGGGAGGGACCCACACAAUGGGAGCAGGAAACCAAUUCUUUGACGUCCACACGCACACUGUGGCAUACACAUGCACGCGCACACACACACACACACACAUACACACACACACUAAACAUUUCUUUUAAAUGAAAAAAUCCUCAUUUAGCCAAAGUAGUUCUUUCUGAAGCACACCUCUGUCCCGGGGCUGCCUUACAGUAAAAGCGACAGAACAAGGUAUCCCAGAGUGCAACUUCCAAACAGACACAACCCAAAAGAAAGAAAUCAGGGUCCUUCUGGAAGCCUUCAAGCAUGACUGGAGGAAGCAGGGUUUGGUGUCAUCUUUGUCUUCUGAACCGAUCAGAAGUUAGCCAAAAGCUUGAGGUUGUAAGGGGAGUUGGGGGAGGGCCACUCUGGAAGAGGACGGCUCUCUGUUCAGGUUAAAACCUUGGCCUGACAGCUCAUGGCUAGAGUGGGCACUGAGUCGUGUUAAGAUGCCAGCUGUACUGUUCUUGUCCAUCCCCAAAACUCAUCACAGGCCAUACUCAACUCCUGUUUUUGUUUCUGCUUCUAAAUAAAGGGACAAUGUCACUCAUACCAACGAGAAAGUAAUCCAUUAGCUAUCCUAAGGGUCAGGGUAGGAUGGUCUAGGGAAGGGGGCUAAAGCCAAGCACCAUCUGGGAAGCUGUUUACACGGCAGCAGUAAUUUAGCAUCCGUUUACCUAGCGCUGCUGCACCUAAGACUGAAGAGAUGGGUAAGCGCCUGCGCUACUAGAUGCUGAUUGGUUGGGAGAUGCAGCACCACCUACGCUGCCAUCUCGGUGUGCUUGAAAUAAGAGCUGAGGGGCAAGCAUCCUCAGCGUUCCGCAAGCCAAGCUACAAAGGAUGGAUGAGGGGAGACAACCUUUGGACUCCACCAUAUGCGUGACAUGCCAAGGAGGAAAUUGAGGACAAGGACACCUGGCAAUCCCAAGCUCCUCAGAAAGAAGGUCCCUCGAACACUUCCACACCCUAGUGAGAAACAGAACCACAGCAAUGCCUGUGUGCUGUCUUCCAUCAUUUUGAUGAUCUCAUUUUUGUUUUUUUUUUGUUUUGUUUUGUUUUGUUUUUUAAAGACAGACUGCGUUACCUCCUCAGAGUUACAACCUACCCUGUGCUCUGCACAGCACGGGGUAGGUAUUUGGUAAUUGAGUAUCACACACAUAAUUUCAGUAGAUCCCCAUGUUACAAACGGAACCGAACUGGGAGGAAUAGAUGGUAGGCCAAUUAUUUCCUUCAAUGUGUUAUUUUUAACACGUUAUUUGAGUCCUUAUUAUAGGAGUAAUGGGAGUGAAUCACAUUUUAUAGAAAUGGUGACGGAGGUUUUGACUCAUCAUUAGCGUUUAUCAACGGAUGAACCAUCCACAAACAUCGUGACGAGUUUGUAAAUCAGAGCUAACGUCUCACCGCAGCGACUCCGAAGAGAGAAUGACAUGGGUUGUGAUAAUGCUGAUCUGAGUGUGAAGUUAAAAACAAAACCAAAAAAAAUCCCUUCGUCUCCAUGCAAACUGAACUGUUUCCUUUCGUGAUGUUGCGAGAAAGAGGCUGAGUUUAAGUGGAAGGGGCGGCGUUCACCAACGGCAGCCGCGCGCUCCCUCAGUUACCAGGCCUGCCACUAAAUGCCACCCGGCGAGAUUUAUUGCCACGCCGAAACAACGCCAUGAGGACCGACACCCCGGCGCAGAUUCAGGUUAGGCGGGUGAGUCAGGGCUCACGGCAUCAGCUUGACAACAUAGAACCUCUGUUUGUCUGUUUGUUUGUUUGUUUCUUCCUCCCGAGAGUUCUUCAACUGUGGGACACGGCGCCAACUCCAGAUGAUAUUUCAGUAGAAACAGCCACCUUUGACUACAGACGCUUUUAAAACUCAAGAUGUCUUUUCCACAGAGCAUGGUAGACUUAGCUACGGAUGUCCCCUGUCCCUGCCAAAAAAUGACAAGCUGCUUGCUCAAAAGCCGCCACUAAUUAGCCGCUGCUGUAAAGCACACCAGCGGAUGUGCCAGCGAAAGCAGAUUGGGAUGAGGGAAGGCCCCGUAACGAGGAGUGGGAAGCAGAACCUAUUUGUGGCUGGUGAACUGUAUACACACACACACACACACUCACAGUCUAAAUCUGGGAGGAGUGGGGGCGGGGAAAAACGGCUAUAGAUGCCAGUUCCUCUUUAAACAGGAAGGGAGGGAGGAUGCUCCUGGGGUGCCGGUGUCACAGAGUCCUAUCACUGCCCUUUCCACCUUCCCAGGAUGAUCCCAGCACGGGAAAGGGAAAGUCUUCCUGAGAGUGGACAGCCUCUGGCUAUCCCAGCUGUGCGGAGACUGAAGGGGAAUACGAAUCAAGGGGUCCCUCUGCCAGUCGACAGCGACCUUCAGAGCUGAGCACUUGCCAUCAGCAGACAGAAACGGAGCAAGCCUCACACAGGGACAGAAAGCAUUUGUUGGGCUCCCAUUACAUGCCAGGCUGCGUUCUAGAUACCAACACACAGUGAUGGCCACAGCAGACGCACAUUCCCCAGACUUGAA